UACGUACGAGGCGAGCGUUAUCCGGAAUUACUGGGCGUAAAGCGCGCGCAGGCGGACCAUUAAGUUGGGCGUGAAAUCUCCCGGCCUAACUGGGAGGGGUCGCCCAAGACUGGUGGUCUUGAGGACAGCAGAGGUGGGUAGAAUUCCUGGUGUAGUGGUGAAAUGCGUAGAGAUCAGGAGGAACACCGGUGGCGAAGGCGGCCCACUGGGCUGUCACUGACGCUGAGGCGCGAAAGCUCGGGGAGCGAACGGG
rnacentral:rRNA from 1 species